rnacentral:rRNA from 1 species
UGAAGCGGGAAGAGCUCAAAUUUGUAAUCUGGCACCUUCGGUGUCCGAGUUGUAAUCUCGAGAAGUGUUUUCCGCGCCGGACCGCAUACAAGUCUGUUGGAAUACAGCGUCAUAGUGGUGAGAACCCCGUAACUGAUGCGGAUGCCCGGUGCUUUGUGAUACACUUUCGAAGAGUCGAGUUGUUUGGGAAUGCAGCUCAAAUUGGGUGGUAAAUUCCAUCUAAAGCUAAAUAUUGGCGAGAGACCGAUAGCGAACAAGUACCGUGAGGGAAAGAUGAAAAGCACUUUGGAAAGAGAGUUAACAGUACGUGAAAUUGUUGGAAGGGAAACGCUUGAAGUCAGACUUGCUAUUUGGAAUUCAGCCGCAAGGUGUACUUUUCAAUUCGCAGGCCAGCAUCAGUUUUCGGGGGUGGAAAAGGGUAGAGAGAAGGUAGCAAUUUCGGUUGUGUUAUAGCUCUUUGCUGGAUUCAUCCUUGGGGACUGAGGAACGCAGCACGCUUUUUGCAAGGCUUUCGAGCUUUUCGUGCUUAGGAUGCUGGUGGAAUGGCUUUAAACGACCCGUCUUGAACCACGGAC